rnacentral:piRNA from 1 species
UAACAUAAUACAAGCAUCAUUAGACCAACCC